rnacentral:lncRNA from 1 species
CAGAAGUCAGGUCGGAUUAAGCCAUAGUACGGAAAAAACUAUGCUACCUGUGAGCCCCGUCCAAGGACGUUAAAAGAAGUCAGGCCACUACAAGUGCCAUAGCUUGAGUAAACUAUGCAGCCUGUAGCUCCACCUGAGAAGGUGUAAAAAAUCUGGGAGGCCACAAACCAUGGAAGCUGUACGCAUGGCGUAGUGGACUAGCGGUUAGAGGAGACCCCUCCCUUACAAAUCGCAGCAACAAUGGGGGCCCAAGGUGAGAUGAAGCUGUAGUCUCACUGAAAGGACUAGAGGUUAGAG